AUGAAGAAUGUAGUGAAAUGCGAUAUUUAGUGUGAAUUGCUGUGAAUAUAGAGUUUUUAACACAAAUUACGUCUGAAGUCAUUAGAUUGAGGACAUGUCUGUCUGAGUGUCA
rnacentral:rRNA from 2 species